rnacentral:tRNA from 1 species
GCCUUCGUGGGGUAAUGGUCAGCACACUGAGCCGGUAUUUCAGAGGUCCGUGGUUCGAUCCCCGGCGAAGGCA